rnacentral:rRNA from 1 species
GACAGAGGGAUCAAGCGUUAUCCGGAAUGAUUGGGCGUAAAGCGUCUGUAGGUGGCUUUUUAAGUCCGCCGUCAAAUCCCAGGGCUACAACCCUGGACAGGACGGUGGAAACUACCAAGCUGGAGUACGGUAGGGGCAGAGGGAAUUUCCGGGUGGAGCGGUGAAAUGUGUAGAUAUUGGAAAAGACCACCAAUGGCGAAGGCACUCUACUGGGCCAUUACUGACACUGAGAGACGAAAGCUAGGGGAGCAAAUGGGAUUAGAUACCCCGUGUAAGUC